ensembl:lncRNA
AGGGGUUAGAGACACCAGUAUCAUUAUAGACAGACAGGGGUUAGAGACACCAGUAUCAUUAUAGACAGACAGGGGGUUACAGACACCAGUAUCAUUAUAGACAGACAGGGGGUUAGAGACACCAGUAUCAUUAUAGACAGAUAGGGGGUUAGAGACACCAGUAUCAUUAUAGACAGACAGGGGGUUCGAGACACCAGUAUCAUUAUAGACAGGCAGGGGUUAGAGACACCAGUAUCAUUAUAGACAGACAGGGGUUAGAGACACCAGUAUCAUUAUAGACAGACAGGGGUUAGAGACACCAGUAUCAUUAUAGACAGACAGGGGUUUAGAGACACCAGUAUCAUUUUAGACAGACAGGGGUUAGAGACACCAGUAUCAUUAUAGACAGACAGGGGGUUACAGACACCAGUAUCAUUAUAGACAGGGGGUUAGAGACACCAGUAUCAUUAUAGACAGACAGGGGUUAGAGACACAAGUAUUAUUAUAGACAGAGAGGGGUUUAGAGACACCAGUAUCAUUAUAGACAGGGGGUUAGAGACACCAGUAUCAUCAUAGACAGACAGGGGUUUAGAGACACCAGUAUCAUUAUAGACAGAGAGGGGUUUAGAGACACCAGUAUCAUUAUAGACAGACAGGGGUUUAGAGACACCAGUAUCAUUAUAGACAGACAGGGGUUAGAGACACCAGUAUCAUUAUAGACAGACAGGGGUUAGAGACAUCAGUAUCAUUAUAGACAGACAGGGGGUUAGAGACACCAGUAUAAUUAUAGACAGACAUGUGUUAGAGACACCAGUAUCAUUAUAGACAGACAGGGGUUAGAGACACCAGUAUCAUUAUAGACAGACAGGGGUUAGAGACACCAGUAUCAUUAUAGACAGAGAGGGGGUUAGAGACACCAGUAUCAUUAUAGACAGACAGGGGGUUAGAGACACCAGUAUCAUUAUAGACAGACAGGGGUUAGAGACACCAGUAUCAUUAUAGACAGAGAGGGGGUUAGAGACACCCGUAUCAUUAUAGACAGACAGGGGGUUAGAGACACCAGUAUCAUUAUGGACAGACAUGGGUUUAGAGACACCAGUAUCAUUAUAGACAGACAGGGGUUAGAGACACCAGUAUCAUAUUGGACAGACAGGGGGUUAGAGACACCAGUAUCAUUAUAGACAGACAAGGGGUUAGAGACACCAGUAUCAUUAUAGACAGACAGGGGGUUAGAGACACCAGUAUCAUUAUAGACAGACAGGGGUUAGAGACACCAGUAUCAUUAUAGACAGACAGGGGUUAGAGACACCAGUAUCAUU